UUAAUUAAUGUAAAAUAAUUGAUAAAUAUUAAUAUUGCAACUAUAUAUUAUUAUAACGUAUAUUUGUUAAUUAUAAUAUAGCAAAAUGGCACCAGUGCCUUUAGAGGGUCAUCAAACACCUGUAACUAAUAAUAUUCCACAGGAAGGAAAUCGUGGUGGUUCUAUUUCUCUUGGCAUGCUUAUUGAUUUCAUUAUACAACGUACUUAUCAUGAACUUACAGUUUUAGCUGAAUUAUUACCUCGAAAAACUGACAUGGAACGCAAAAUAGAAAUUUACAACUUUUCAGCUAGAACUAGACAAUUAUAUGUACGUUUAUUAGCAUUGGUUAAGUGGGCUAAUAGUGCUUCCAAAGUUGAUAAAUCUGCGCAUAUAAUGGCAUUCUUAGACAAGCAAUCACUUCUUUUCGUUGAUACAGCUGAUAUGCUUGCAAGAAUGGCCCGUGAGACAUUAGUACAUGCAAGAUUACCUAAUUUUCAUAUUCCUGCUGCAGUGGAAGUUCUUACAACUGGAACAUAUAGUCGCUUACCAGCAUGCAUAAGAGAAAGAAUUGUUCCUCCAGAUCCAAUUACACCAGCAGAAAAAAGAAGUACACUUCAGAGAUUGAAUCAAGUUAUUCAACAUAGAUUAGUUACUGGAAAUCUGCUUCCACAAAUGCGUAAUUUAAAAAUUGAAGCAGGAAGAGUAACAUUUCUUGUAGAGCAAGAAUUUUCAGUGUCACUUACAGUAAUGGGAGAUGGUCCAACAGUACCUUGGAGAUUAUUAGAAUUGGAGAUCUUAGUUUCAGAUAGAGAAACAGGAGAUGGAAAAGCUUUGGUGCAUCCAUUGCAAACUCGUUAUGUGCAUCAAGUGGUGCAAUCGAGAUUAGCAGAAAGUUCAAAUCCAUUAUCAGAAGUUUAUCAUAUUUUGCAUUAUUUUUGUCAAUCAUUACAAUUAGAAGUACUCUAUUCUCAAACAUUACGGUUAAUACGAGAUAGAUUGGAUGAUCACAUUCAUGUGGAUGAAUAUACACCAGGAAAAUGUCUUUCAGUGUCAUAUUGGAGAGAAUUGACUAAUAAAGAUCCUCGAUCAGAAUUGGGCUAUAAAUUAACAGUACAGGUGGACCAACAUGACCCUGCAAGACCUCUUGCAAUAGUACAUAUUCCAUCUUUAGGUAGUAAAGAAAGUGAAAUAGCAGACAGAGCAAUUAGAUCAGACCAAUUAUCAAUGGAAUGUUUAUUAGUACAUACAAUAUAUGUGCGUACUAGAAGUAGAUUAUUAGAUUUAAAGCAAGAAUUGCAAACGAUGUUGAAAGAUGUUGAAUGUACUCUAGCCGGUUCACCUGCAAUUCUCUCUGUUCCAAUUUUGCAACCUUGCUUAAGAGCAGAACACUUAUUAGUUACUGUUGAUACACAUACUGGAAUGUUACAAUGUCAUGUACCUCAAUAUGAAGUUCCGUUGAUUCCUGAACUAACUGCUGCUUUAAAUGGCGAUCAUUCUCGCCUUCCGACUUUAAUAUCAGAACUUAGAUUUUGGAUAACACAAAGACGGUGUGAAAAAACAUUACAACAUCUUCCAGCAACUUCUCAUGAACGUUUACCAGUUCUUCUUCAUCCUGAUCAUCCAAUGUCAAAAAUUAGUAGACAUCGGAUGUUUAUCCAACUCCAUCGACAUCCUACAGUUAUUUUAAUAGUGGCGUUUAAAGAGAAAGAAACUUCACCAUGUGAAAUUGAAUGUUCAUUUUAUCUUGCUGUAGUAAAACAUAGCUCUAUAGAGGAUGAUCCCCAUGAUGAUAGUAUUGAAACAGAAAUUCCAAAAAUGUAUUUAAAAGUUCAAAGUUUAAUUGAAUUUGAUACUUUUGUCAUAACUCAUGGACCUUUUACCAGUGUUGACAAUGAAACUCUUGAAACAAACAGUUUGAAACGAAGAAGUACAGGACCUAGUGGAAGAUCUGAUAGUAGUACUACAUUGCAAAAUAGAAGGUCCAAACAACCUGCAUAUUUUAUUCCUGAAUUAGCACACGUGGUUGCACUUUGCGAUGAAAGAAUACCUUUUGUAACAUUAGCACAAGAAUUGACUAGAAGAGAUAUAGCUCAUCAAGGGCUUCAAGUAGAGGCAAAUGCUACUGCAUUAGUUUUAAAAUUAGUUCAAUUACCUGCUCCUUCUACAGGAAUAAAUACUAGUUGUGCUUGGUAUGCUCUUCUUAAAAGACUACUCAGUGUUUCAAUUAGAGUUCAAGGUAAAGGUAUGGCUAAAACAUGGAUGGCUGAAUUUGUAUUUUAUGGUAGCCCCUUAUCUAGUAGUCAUCCAAAAGAACAAGGAUUGAGAAGACCAGUAUAUUUCCAAUAUGAAAUGGGAACAGCAGAUACUAUUUCGCGUACAGUAGAUGCAAUACUUAAUGAUUGGGCUCAAAUUGUACAUCUUUAUUUUAUUGUACAUGAUUUAGCAGAAUAUUUUAAAAUGGAAAAAUAUAAUCUGCGCAAUAUGGUUAAUAUAAAAUUAUAUAACUAUAGUAAGUUAGUUUUAACUUAUGGUCCUAAUCGUGGAGCUACUGUUACUGUGCAAUGGAGUACCAAUGACAAAGCAUUUAAAUUGAUUUUUGGAAAAAGUCCAACUAGUACUAUUACUAAUGCUCAUUCAAUUAUGAAGGAACAAUUGGAAGCUCAUUUAAAUAGACACAGAAAUUUAGCUCAACUUAUACAUAUUCUUCAUGAAACACUUCAACCUCUUACAUCAAUUAGUAAAUUGCCUAUAAUUCCACAACUUUGUGUUUAUAAUUCGAGACCUCAAGUGCCAGUACAAACUUUCACUAUUAUGCCACAAUGUGUAACUCUAGUCAGAAUUGCAUAUCAGGGUAUGUAUUGUUUAGAACUUCGUCUACGAGGAAGUGGUUUAGUAAGCUUACGGGAUGGAGCUUAUAGCCGUUUUGAUAGAAGUUACGUUGUAGAUGAAUUUACUCCUACACAAGGUCUUAAGGCUUUUUUAUCUAAAUAUGUGGAUGAAAGUGCAGUUUCUCGUAGAAGAUCUCAGUCAGAGGAUGAUAAUCCUCCUUCUCCUGUGACAAUGGAUAGCGAUGGAGGUAGUGGAAGUGGAAAUGUAGGUUUUUUAAGUCAUCAUAGAAGUGGACCUCAGUCACCUGCACAACAGAGAGAUGGAUUAAGGUUUCAUCCACCUCUGACUCCACCUUCUGGUAGUAAUCCUCAUACUCCAGCUAGUCCACAUACUGCUAAUAUAUCACAGACAAAUCAACAUCAAAGUUUUGGAAGUAGUCCAGCUACUUCUUUCAAUUUGGCUUCACCACCAUCAUUACCACCAAAUACACCAAAUAUGUUACCACAUCCUUCACCAGGCUCUGGUUUAGUUGCUAAUAGUCCUUUAAAUCCAAUGCAUGUUCCUAGUCCAGCUGGAUUAAUGCCAACAUCUUCACCAGGACCAUGUAGUAAUGUUCAAGUGGGACAUUCUCCUGCAGGAUUUAUGCAAACUGGGCACAUAGAUGGAAGUCCAUUUCCAUCUUCACAAAGUAUGGCUUCUCCAGCAGCCUCUAAUUGGCCAGGAUCACCUAGUGUGCCUAGACCAUCUCCAGCACGUCCUACACAAAGUCCGGGACAUGCAUUGCAUAGUCCUCAAGCCUCUGAUCAUAAAACAGGGACUCAUAUUUCAAGAGUACUUCCACAACGUUCUUGGGCAGGUGCUGUACCUACACUUUUAACUCACGAAGCUUUAGAAUUGCUCUGUUGUCCUUCUCCACACCCUUCUGGAUUUCCUGGGCCUGAUCUUUCACCACUUGAAAGAUUUUUAGGAUGCAUUUAUAUGCGCAGACAAUUCCAACGAUUCAUACAAACUGAUGAAUGUUUAACAGCAGUAAAUAGUACAGAACCAGGAGUUGUACACUUUAAGGUAGAAAGUUUACAAUGUCGAGUUGGCUUAAAUCCACAACAUUUACAAUCUCUUCAUAUAAAAGUACAACCUCUUCCAGAUCAUAAAGAUCAAUGGACGCUUGAAGAAUUACAAAUCAUAGAAAAAUUUUUUGAUACAAGAGCAGCAAUACCACCAUAUAAACCAAACACACUCUCUGGUUUUGGUAGAAUGUUAAAUGUUCCAUUUAAUGUAUUGAAAGAUUUUGUACAAAUUAUGAAAUUAGAAUUAGUACCUGGAUUAGCACAACAACAACAACUUAAAUGGAAUGUACAAUGGUGUUUAAGGAUUCCUCCUUCUGGAACUCCAAUUGUACCUACUGGCAUGGCUGCUAUACUAGUUUGCAGAAAUAAAAUUCUUUUUUUUGUAUUUGCAAAUAACAAGAAUUGGAUUACCAUAUCAAGGAGAAACACCAUCACUUGUUUUACCCCUAGUUUAUGAUGUUAGUACAAAUCUAACACAAUUAGCAGAAAAAAGAGAUCCAAGUCCAGCUUCUGCAAUGGCAGCAGCAUCCUUACAAUUAAAAAGAUUUGCUGAAUAUGGUGCAAAUCAAUCUGAGUGUUCUCUCUUUCCUGCAGUUAGAGAUUUACUUGCUAAUUUGACUCUUCCUUCAGAUCCUCCAGUUAUGUCUCAGGUUCCACCAGCUGGUGGAACACCAACACAACAGAUUCAAAGUCCUGCAAUGCAAUUACAUUCUCCUAUGGCUGGAAAUCAAGGUCCUCCACAGGCACCAUAUGGAAUUCAAGGUAUGCCUCCAAUGGGCAUAAUGGGUGGACCACCUCAAUAGGACAUGCUUUACUCUCCUAACCCACUCAAUUUACCGAAUCAGUCGACUUGGAUCAACUGAAACGUAUUAUAAUAUCUAUUUUAAGAAUAUAUGGUGGGGAAUUGUAGGAGAGUUAUUUCAUCAAGAAAACUUGUUUUUUAAAAACUCAUACUGUAAUAUUAUUUGUAAAAAGAAACUAUAAUCAAAAAA
rnacentral:misc_RNA from 1 species